rnacentral:rRNA from 1 species
UACGGAGGGGGUUAGCGUUGUUCGGAAUGACUGGGCGUAAAACGCGCGUAGGCGGAUCGGAAAGUUGGGGGUGAAAGCCCAGGGCUCAACCCUGGAAUUGCCUUCAAAACUCCUGGUCUUGAGGUCGAGAGAGGUGAGUGGAAUUCCGAGUGUAGAGGUGAAAUUCGUAGAUAUUCGGAGGAACACCAGUGGCGAAGGCGGCUCACUGGCUCGAUACUGACGCUGAGGUGCGAAAGCGUGGGGAGCAAACAGG